UUNCUUGUUGCUUGCUUGUUACUUUUGUU
rnacentral:piRNA from 1 species